AAAUCCCUGCGGUGUGCGUGAAUCAUGGUAUUAUUUAUAACCAACACAAAUUAUUAGGGAGUCGAACCUCUGGCCGUGGCGUGUAUGCUUUAAUUUAUUAAAGAAACCCAUAAGCUCUCAGGAGACACCCACCUGCGAAAGCAGGUUGUAAAUUUGCUAAUCACGGCACUUUGGGGAUACU
rnacentral:other from 1 species